rnacentral:lncRNA from 1 species
AUAUACACAAAGUAAACGUUUUUAUACGACAUGACACCAUACAUAAACAAAAAAGUAAAAUCACAAAAAUACUGAACUCGGAGGAAAAUUCAAAACAGAAAGUCCCUAGUCAAACGGAAAAAUAUAGAACUAAUAGUUAUCAAAGGUACCAGGAUUAUAAUUUAAUACGCCAGAAGCGCGUUUCGUCUACAUAAGACUCAUCAGUGUCGCUCAGAUUUAAAUAGUUAUAAAGCCAAACAAGUACAAAGUUGAAGAGUAUUGAGGACCAAAAAUUCCAAAAAGUUGUGUCAAAUACGGCUAAGGUAAUCUAUUCUAAUACUAAAACACAUCAAAACGAAUGAAUAAAAACUGCCAUAUUCUUGACUUGGUACAAGCAUUUUCUUAUGUAGAAAAUUGUGGAUUAAAUCUGGUUAAAAAGCUGGGCCAUAUGAGGGCCAAAUAAAACCGUUGGAACCGCGAUUUGAAUCAAUUAAAUGACGUCAUAAAAAUUGAUGAAGUCUGCAACCGGGCUGAUAUCGAUAGCAUCAAAGAAGGCCGAUAUAACAUGAGAUUGCUAUUGAUUUCAUUAAACCUAGAAUUAACUAUUUAUUUCUAGGUGUAUAAUAUAAUAUUUCCAUUUCAUUGUUUAAAAUAAGAAAUGAAAUAAAAUUAGCAAAAAAAUAUCAUUACGCG